ncrna:unclassified sequences RAGATH-18 RNA
CCUUUGGAGUGCUAUACAAACGCUAGUAGCUUGUCUUUCAAGGCAGCGAGAGCGAGUACGAUGAACAAGGAU